CCCCACCCGAAGGCAGGGUGACCUCCCCCUCCCCAGUCUUCCCCACCGUAGCAACACAGGGGCCAGCGACUACCCGGCAACCACCCUCAAAGUCCCCCGUCCAUCAGGAGAGAAGAGCAAGGCAGCGCGGACCACCCGGCCUGCCCGCCCACCACCGUGGCCUCUGGCCCAGAGCAGAGCCCCGCCCACCAGGCCUCAUCCACACCAACGCCACCGCCACAGAAGGCCGGAUGGCAGGUGCCCAGGACAGGGGCAGGUGCCCUGGGAGGGCAUGUACAGAAGCUGUAAAUAACCCUCUUCCCCGCCCAGGACCUAGACCUCACUGCAGUCUCCCUGCCUGGGAUAAAAGCUUCCAAACCUGCCUAGCGGGACAGCUACAAGGGCCCCCGAGAGCUGCCUGACCACUGUCUUCAUUGGGACAACUCUAGGGGACCAUUCCACCUGGGGCUCCUAAGCAAACCUCUUAUUUAUUUUAUUUAUGUUUUAUUUAUUUAUUGAUAUGACCGUCCUUUUGUUUCUUA
rnacentral:lncRNA from 1 species